CAGUCGCCGCGGUAAUACAGAGGGUGCGAGCGUUAAUCGGAUUUACUGGGCGUAAAGCGUGCGUAGGCGGCUUCUUAAGUCGGAUGUGAAAUCCCUGAGCUUAACUUAGGAAUUGCAUUCGAUACUGGGAAGCUAGAGUAUGGGAGAGGAUGGUAGAAUUCCAGGUGUAGCGGUGAAAUGCGUAGAGAUCUGGAGGAAUACCGAUGGCGAAGGCGGCCCCCUGGACAAAGACUGACGCUCAGGUGCGAAAGCGUGGGGAGCAAACAGGAUUAGAUACCCGGGUAGUCCCUGUCUCUUAUAC
rnacentral:rRNA from 1 species